rnacentral:rRNA from 1 species
UGGGGAAUUUUGGACAAUGGGCGAAAGCCUGAUCCAGCCAUGCCGCGUGAGUGAAGAAGGCCUUCGGGUUGUAAAGCUCUUUUAGUCGGAAAGAAAGAGUCGCAAUGAAUAAUUGUGAUUUAUGACGGUACCGACAGAAAAAGCACCGGCUAACUACGUGCCAGCAGCCGCGGUAAUACGUAGGGUGCGAGCGUUAAUCGGAAUUACUGGGCGUAAAGGGUGCGCAGGCGGUUUUGUAAGUCAGAUGUGAAAUCCCCGGGCUUAACCUGGGAAUUGCGUUUGAAACUGCAAGACUAGAGUGCAGCAGAGGGGAGUGGAAUUCCAUGUGUAGCAGUGAAAUGCGUAGAGAUGUGGAAGAACACCGAUGGCGAAGGCAGCUCCCUGGGUUGACACUGACGCUCAUGCACGAAAGCGUGGGGAGCAAACA